UGAAGAGGUCUGUCCUUAAACCAUUGAUCAGUUAACAACAAUUAAAGAUAAUGAUUACUUUAUUAUUUCUAUACUGUUUGAAAUGUUCUGAAUAUAAUAAACAAUGUAAAGAAUAUAUUGUGCUUAUUAAAGUUAUGCAUUGUGCUUAUUAAAGUUAUGAACUUAGAAGUGUGCUCAGGCUUAAACAUUGGGUCUCACACUGGGUGUGGGAAGCAGGCUGUUCUUUGUGUCUCUUAUCUCUUCAUUUUCAGAAACAACCUUGAAACCGGGUGGAGACGGCACCCAAGCAGGUGGGACGCGUAGGCAAGAACAACUCCCUGAUGCACGAGAGAACAAGCUCAACCCUUUUUUGAUAUGUGUGUUUCAAUUGCACUGUAUAAAUAUAUGCUGGGGAGGGACAGAUAGCCAGUAGGACUUUGUGAACCAGCCCAAACUCUGUUGCGGGUAGGGAAACUUAUACAACCCCAGAGCUCUGUACUUGUUGAUUUCCAACUGCUGCAUUAAAGCUGAUAUUAUCGGA